UGGCAGUUCAUAAUUACCACUCCUCUAGUGUGUUGUAGACGUAAACUCCUAUUUAUACUUAGCUAACAAGUAUUUCCAAGCCAUUGGUAACUGCUGGGUUGGUUGGUUAAUGUUUACAAGUCUCUUUGCAUUGCCAUUUACAUACAUCUCCAUGGCCUCCGCUAACGGCGCAUGUGUAUCUUUUUCAAAGGUCCUAACUACCCUCGCAUCAUCCCAGCCAAUCUGUACGUCAUACUCCAGUGCUCUUGUGGAGAGGGCUGUUGUUGUCCUUCCUUUAUUGACAUCUCUCUUGUGUUCUGCUAUCCUUUUCU
rnacentral:lncRNA from 1 species